CCACGUGCGCGCGCGCGCCUCCACUGCCGAGCGACUGCGGGAAAAUUCCAAAAGUCGAAACAAAACAGAAAAGCAAUACGAGGCAAAGCCAGAUUUUCAAGCCACAGAACCCCGGCGGUGGCGCCCUUUCCGCCACCGCCCAAACUGCUGAAGCAGCUCUGGCGCGGACCACCCGAUUUGCUGCGUGCUCACUGUCUCCCUCAGCGCUUGGCAGGCCACUGUGGAGGUGCAUCCCCUUUUCCCUUUCCUGAGAUGGCUCAAGACUCAGUAGGCCUUUCUUCUGAUUACCAGUUUUGGAUGCAGAAGGUUUCUACAUGGGACCAGGCCUCCACUGUGGAAACCCAGCAAGACACCUGUCUUCACCUGCCUCGGUUUCAGGAGUUCCUGAGGCAGAUGUAUGAAGCCUUGAAAGAGAUGGAUUCAAAUACAGUCAUUGAAAGAUUCCCCACAAUUGGUCAACUGUUGGCAAAAACUUGCCGGAAUCCUUUUAUCUUAGCAUAUGAUGAAAGCCAAAAAAUUCUAAUAUGGUGCUUAUGUUGUCUGAUUAACAAAGAACCACAGAAUUCUGGAGACUCAAAACUUAACUCCUGGACACGGGGGCUGUUAUGUCAUGUACUUUCAGCAUUCAGAUUUGAUAUAAGAGAAGUUGGUCUUUUUACUCAAGGUCUUGGCUAUGCACCUGCAGAUUACUAUCCUGGUUUGCUUAAAAAUAUGGUUUUAUCGUUAGUGUCUGAACUCAGAGAGAAUCAUCUUAAUGGAUUUAACACUCAAAGACGAAUGACUCCUGAACGAGUGAGGGCCCUGUCACGAGUUUGUGUCCCGCUUAUUACUCUGCCGGAUUUUGAACCCCUGGUGGAGGCGCUGCUCACCUGCCAUGGAUGUGAACCUCAGGAGGUGCUCUGGCCUGAGUUCUUCGAUGCUGUGAGUGAGGCCUUUUUGCUGAAGAAGAUUUCUCUCCCCACGUCCGCGGUAGUCUGCCUCUGGCUUCGGCACCUUCCCAGCCUUGAAAAAGCAAUGCUGCACCUUUUCGAAAAGCUAAUCUCCAGUGAGAGAAAUUUUCUGAGGAUCGAACGCUUCGUGAGAGAUUCCUUGCUGCCUGAAGCCGCCUGCCACCCUGCCAUAUUCAGAAUUGUUGACGAAACAUUCAGGUACGCACUCCUGGAAACUGAUGGAGCCCCAGAAAUCCUGGCCACCAUUCAAGUGUUUACACGGUGCUUCUUAGAAGCUCUGGAAAAAGAAAACAAGCAGUUUAAGUUUGCCCUGAGGACCUACUUUCCUUAUGCUUCGCCAUCUCUUGUCACGGCGCUACUCCAACACCCGAAAGAUAUCCCACAGGGACUCUGGCACCAGUCACUGCAACAUAUUUCAGAAAUGCUCAGAGAAAUAGUUGAAGACCAGACUCACGGGUCCUAUGGAGGCCCCUCUGACUGCUGGUUUGCAUUCAUUCACUUUGGAGGAUGGGCUGAUGUCGCUGCUGAGCAGUUACUGAGGUCAGAAGCUGAUCCCCCUGAAGCAGUGCUGUGGCUCUUGGCCUUUAGCUACAGCCCACGUGACGGGAGUCAGCAGAGGGCACAGACCAUGGAGGAGGUGAAGGCAGUGCUCGGCCGCCUCCUGAAGCUGCUCAGAAGUCCAGGCUUCUCGGCCAGGGAUGUGCAGGCAGCAGCUGGACAGAGCCGAGAAGAAGCCCCCAGGCCACUGGAGUGUGGACCGCUGAUCAGGCGCCUCCUCCUGAACUUCCUGCUCUGGGCUCCUGGAGCCCACGCGAUUGCCCAGGAAGUCAUCACCCUUAUGGCUUCAACUCGUGAGAUAACCCACGAGAUUACUGGCUUCCUCGACCAGACCCUGUACAGAUGGGAUCAUCUUUGCACCGCAGCCCCUGCGUCGAGAAAACUGGCCAGCGAGCUCCUCACAGAGCUGCGCGGGCAAGUCUAGCACAGGCCCAUUGGAGAUGUCGUGGCCAUGCAGGGGCCUGGGGUUGCCAGGGCCAUGAACGAAAUGAGGCUGCUUCUUAGGGCUCCAAGUUUGUAGUAUGAGUACCCUCUCUGAGCUGUGAGGAUGAGCCAAGAACAUCUUGGCAAGUUCUAGUGGUACAUAUUUUACACGUUGAGAAGACAGGUGCUGUAGCCCAAACCUAGAUUUAGUCACUAGUGGCUGGCCUAUGCCUCCAGAUUCCCUGUGCCUGCCCAGCCCAGGACGCCCAUUACAGAAUCACUGAAGAAGGGCUGGCUGGAGAGCAUUUCCCAUGCCAACCAAGAUGCACAACUAUUAUGUGAAUGUGUCAAAGUCUUUGGACCCAGAAAUUGGUCAUGAACUACUGAUCAAUUUAGACAGGAACUUAGCCCUUUUCCACAGACCUUUUCCAGAAGUCAGGUGAUUGUUACUGGUAUUUCUUUUAAUCCACAGGGAUUUGAGAUAAAGCCCCAUUCUCUUUCUUCCCUAAGAAAGUCUUCAUUCAGGAGGGUCAGGACCCCUGGAGUUUCCCUUGGCGCCCCCCCGAGCAGGCCCAGGGGAAGCAGAGCCCACCCGCCCAGGGGCAGGUGUGGUGCAGGGCCGCUGCUCACCGGGGGCUGCGUGCUGGCCCUGCUGUGGACGGCACCACUGCCGAGCGGGGAAUAGCCGGUCUGGUGCUGGCUUUUCCUGCUCUCUAUUUGCUGAACACUGACUGCCACCAAAAGAAUUGAUAUCACCUCAAAGACGGCUGAGAGAGGAGGGUCCAGGAUGCGUUCCAGAAACAUCGGAAGAGAUGAGGAAACUGAAGCCCAGAAAGGUUCUGCAGACGACAGCUCACAGGGCUGGGACCUGAGCAGAGGAACCUACGGACUGCGCACUGUGCCUCUCGAGGCUGGGAUGUUCCGACAAUGGAGACAUCAAAAUAGAGGCAAAGUAUGUGCCAAUCGUGAAACAUUCUGCCACACGGAAGAAUCACUGUGUACUCUGUUUCCAUCUGAGCACGACGCGGGGUGUGGACAUGCGUUUGCUGGAGCGCAUCCUUAGAGUCUCUGCUGCGGCAGAGACGGGUCAGUCUCCUAACAGGGAUGAGUUUGGAGAAGGGACCAGGAGAACGGGGAGGAACACUUACUUUUUGCUUACAAAUUAUUUAUAUUUGUUUCCAUGUUUGAUGUAUUCACAACCAGAAGCUCAAAUUAUCAAUACAUAAGGGAAGGUUCAUCUGUCUGUCCCGAGAGAGGCUCACUCUUAAACGGGCCGUGAGGGUCAGGCGGCCCCGGGCCAGCUGUCGCUUUAACAGGAGACGUCUUUGCUGGCGCUCCUUGCAUUUGUCAGCAUGGUGGCAUUUUUAUAGCCUGUUCACAGGACCUAGGUUGUGGCAUCGGACAUAGAGUUUUCUAGAAAAAGACGACUUGCUCAUUAUGGUUGGAUCCAGGCACCCUGACACAGAGGGAAGAUGGCCUGAGCGCCCCCAGAUGGAGCAGUUUGUGGGCCGUGACCCACUUCCCAAAUGUCAGUCUGUCAUCUGCCCAGCCUCUGGGAUCACUAAUAACCACCUUCCUGCUCUGUGGGACGGCCUGCUCCACCCCCACGUGCCCUGAAGCCACAGUUCCUGCAGUUCCCUCUUCCCUGAUAAUUUAAUGUAUUAAAGCAGAUAAAAUCAUAAAGCGACAAUUUCCUUCCCUUAAAUUAUGUCCUUUCUUUACAACCCAACAUAAAUGCACGCUUGUACUGUACCAUCGGCAAACAGUGUAAUUGGCUUUUAUCUACCUAUCAAGUCAUUUCUGUCUCCAUAAUUCUCAUUUUUCUUGAGCCUCUCUGCUUAGACAUAACUGAAGCGAAGCCUGGGAGACUUAAAUCAGGCAGUCAGAAGGUGAAACCGAGGCACCGGGGCAAGCGUGCCAGCGCCCUAGGCGGGGGCGCUGCCUCUACGCCUCCCUCUCAGAUCUUGCCAAGCGUGUCCUCGCCAGUCUUAGGACACACACUUCUGCUUUCAAGGCCUGUUCUGCCAGACCUCGUGGGACAAGGGAGAACUAUCAGAGCAGAACUUUCUGGAACUCAGGACUCUGGGCAGUGCAGCGAGGGCCCAACCGCGGGCAGCUUCAGCACCUCCUGCCCCCCGACAGGCACGAACCCUCCCGGGCUGGGCUUCACAAUGGGAGCAGUCCCCAAAGAGAGCUGCAGGCACAAGAGGGCCGAAGAGAGCAGACGCCACACCACGCGCUGUCACCUCUGCUUCCCACCAAAGCAGCAGAGGCGCUUCUGGGAGUGGGGGCGGUGGCCACAUCCCGUGAGCCCCUGGGCUCUGCUCCCCAGGCGGCGGGCGUCCUGCUGAGGGCUGUGCCUCCAAGGUCAGGGGAGGCCAGGGCCCAGCAGCCGGCACAGGCGGGGCCCGGUGGGGCGAGGGAGGGCCCUGGACAGGUCUUUGGAGCAGUCGUCCUGUCUCCCCACCCAGGCCUUUGGGCUGAGCAGCUGAAGCGCUGAGCUUGUUUUGUCUCCAGCAGCACUUGGCAGGGGCCAGAUUCGUUUUAUGGGAGCUGUCUGGAGGAGAUGGAAGCGUGUGCUCAGAGAGGCCUUUUCUGCAUUUCUGCAUUCUGCUUUGUCUUCCCAAACACACACACAAAACCAUGGGUUUCUGGUGCUACACCAGCCCCCUUUCCCAGGCCCAGCCCCCACAGUGGGCUCCUUUGGCUGCUCCUCCCAUGAGGGCUGGGUUUGCCUUUGCUCCCAUGCACUGAUGCCAGGGUGCCCGGAUGUCUGGCCACGGUCCAGGCAGGUGAUCCACAGCCCGGGCUGGCCCUGGGCACGUGGUAGUUUUACGGUGGCUUCCUUCCGCCCCCGGCUUGGCUGAUGGCCUCCUCCCCUUUUUUCACCCCCUUUCUCUAGUCAUCGAACUGGAACAGAAAUGCCUUAUUAGCAGAUCCAUCUCCCGGAUGGCACCAGAGGGUGGGAAAAGAUCAAUAAAACCUCCCUGAAUGGCCCUCCCCCCUUGUAAACCUCAGGGCCCAGCCAGGGAGGGCCAGGUCAUUGUCCUCCAGGACAGUGGCCUGGGGGUUGAGCUCAUGCCCUCUUCCUUGACCUGGUCACUGGGCACUGCCCGGCAGGUCCAGGCACCCCUUUCCACCCCCAGCUCCCCACCCGACCUCGGACCGAGGCUCCAGAAGUCUAGGCUUGGGUUUGCCACCGUCUCGGGACCCCUGUAUGGAGUCUUUGCCAUGGCCGGGCCCGGCCCACAGGGCCCCCACCCUCUCUGUGCACCCCGAGGUGGUUCACGGCGCAGGUGCCCUGGGGAAGGGGCGCUCCAAAGGAUCGCUGAAGCCCCAAGUCACUGCACUUCCCCCUGCCAGGGGCCGCACCCCUCCCUGCCUUCUCCAGUGUGGGCUGUGGCAGGCCCUCUGCCCAGGGAGUCCGGCAGCUGAGGCCAUGGGCCUGGGGCACCCAAGUUCUGUCUGCAGGACAGGUGCUGGGAGGGACCGACUCCCUUCGCAGGGCAGGUCUGCGCCCCCGGGGCGGCUCCACUGGAAGACGAGGUGGUGGUAGGCCUGAACAGAAGGCUCUAGAACAACUGGCCCUUGACCACAGACACACAGCUUUUGCUUUUAGACACCCAGUGCGCUGCAGCUGCUGUUGGUGAGGCUGAGCACGGCGGAGGCCACUGCUGUGUGGGCAGAUGCACGGGGGCCCCGGCCUCCUCAGGCCUUGGGGCUUUGCUGCGUGUACAUGCUGGACCAAGCAGCUCAGAGGAGAAAGCCGGAAUGCACCAGAAACGGCUGCUUGGAACUCAUGAGAGCUCUGCUCUGCGUGCUAAAGGACAGGUUACUGUUUCUGGUUCCUAUACUUGGGGCACAGGGUGCUGCCUGUGAAUGUGACAUCUCUGUACCUCGUUUCAGAUGGAGACUAUCAUUUCAGUGUUCUGGUUUGAAAUUCCAAUAAAAAUAAAUGCUUUAGGG